GAUGAACGCUGGCGGCGUGCCUAAUACAUGCAAGUCGAGCGAAUGGAUUAAGAGCUUGCUCUUAUGAAGUUAGCGGCGGACGGGUGAGUAACACGUGGGUAACCUGCCCAUAAGACUGGGAUAACUCCGGGAAACCGGGGCUAAUACCGGAUAACAUUUUGAACCGCAUGGUUCGAAAUUGAAAGGCGGCUUCGGCUGUCACUUAUGGAUGGACCCGCGUCGCAUUAGCUAGUUGGUGAGGUAACGGCUCGCCAAGGCAACGAUGCGUAGCCGAGCUGAGAGGGUGGUCGGCCACACGGGGACUGAGACACGGCCCAGACUCCUACGGGAGGCAGCAGUAGGGAAUCUUCCGCAAUGGACGAAAGUCUGACGGAGCAACGCCGCGUGAGUGAUGAAGGCUUUCGGGUCGUAAAACUCUGUUGUUAGGGAAGAACAAGUGCUAGUUGAACAAGCUGGCACCUUGACGGUACCUAACCAGAAAGCCACGGCUAACUACGUGCCAGCCGCCGCCGCGG
rnacentral:rRNA from 1 species